AACGCGGCACCAAACGCGGCACCGAACCCGGCACCAAAACCGGCACUGAACCCGGCACCAAACCCGGCACCAAACCCAUCACCAAAACUCAUCACCGAACCUGGCACCAAACCCAUCACCAAACCCCAGCACCAAACCCAUCACCAAACCCCAGCACCGAACCCUGCACUGAACCCAGCACCAAACCCGUCACCGAAACCCGCACCAAACGCAUCACCAAACCCAGCACCGAACCCGGCAUCAAAUGCAUCACCGAUCCCAGCACCGAUCCUGGCACUGAACCCAGCACCAGCAGCAAAACGCCUCGGGUGGUGACGGGCUGGGUUUAUCCCGCUGAGCUGCUGAAGCCACGGGUGUGACGGCGGGAGCUGGGAGGUGACGGCGGGACUGAGAGCUGGGAUGGUGGGACAGGCAGAACCUCUGCUGCGGCGUCCGCCGGGACCCGGGAGCUGCGGGACUGGAUAAUGCGGGGUCCCAGCAGGGACGUGCAGUUUGGAAACCCGGUCAGGGAUGAGGAAUGUGCCGUACCCGGAGCUGCACAAACAGCCCGGAAGGAAAAGUGCCUCUUCCCAGCUAUAGUGAGUAAAACCGUGUCGUGAGACCAAUAUGAUUUUUGCUAAAUAGCCUCAGGACAAGGUGUUAAAGCCCCCUCUGCCCAGCCGGCUGAGCGCCUCGGCACCUGCUGAGCCCGCGUUUAAAUAGCUGCCGUGCCUAUCUUUAACCUUUUGUAAUGUGUUUAUAAAGGGAACUUCAAGUAAGACUAGCAGUUAGGAAAACACCGUGAAACGCAGUUGGAUGGAGAUCAGUACAUCCCUCCCUCCCACUGCCCCCCCCCGCUUUCCCCCGGGAAUGUUUGGCUUUUCCCAACACUGGUGUCCCCGUGAGCGUGGCUGGAGCUGGGGGAAGGAUGGUCCCGGUGCCCCCCCAGCACCGUGUCCCUCCCCGGGCAGGGGCUCGGGACCUUCAGGCAGCGUAGGGGCAUCAGGGCUCUUUGAUGUUUUUCAGGUCUAUUUGAAGUUUUUCAGGCCUAUUUGAUGUUCUGCUCGCGACAGCCACACUCUCCGAGGGGCGGGAAGCAGGAGGGUGGUCCCUGGUGCCUGGGACGAUGCUCUCCUCAGGGACAAAUGGGCUCCUCAGCAUCAUCCCCUUCUCUCCCAGAAAAUCCCGCAGUGGGCCCAGGGGCCCCUUCUGCCUCACACCUAGGGGCAGGCUCUGUUUUUCUCUACGCUCCGCCUGUCCCCAUUGUACCCCCUCCCCGUGUAUUUCGGUGACUCAUGAAGCUUCGAAAUGCUGAGGGUGGAGAAGGGCUAUUUCUGUGCUCCCGCUGCCAUCCCCGCUUCCCUCCGGCUGCGCUGGCGGGGCACCCCAGAACACACAGCACCCCCACCAUGCACCGCAUCCCAGAACACAGAGCAUCCCAGAACGCACAGCACCCCCGCCACGCACCGCAUCCCAGAACACACAGCAUCCCAGAACGCACCGCAUCCCAGAACACACAGCAUCCCAGAACGCACCGCAUCCCAGAACGCACCGCAUCCCUGCCACACACCGUAUCCCCACCACGCACCACAUCCCAGAACACACAGCAUCCCAGAACGCACUGCAUCCCAGAACACAGAGCAUCCCAGAAGGCACAGCACCCCCGCCAUGCACCGCAUCCCAGAACACACAGCAUCCCAGAACGCACUGCAUCCCAGAACACAGAGCAUCCCAGAAGGCGCAGCACCCCCGCCACGCACCGCAUCCCAGAACACACGGCAUCCCAGAACGCACCGCAUCCCUGCCACACACCGUAUCCCCACCACGCACCACAUCCCAGAACGCACCGCAUCCCAGAACGCACAGCACCCCCGCCACGCACCGCAUCCCUGCCGCCUCUAUUCUUAGCAGCUAAUAGCUGAAAUAAUGACUUUUGUCUCAGCGCUGUUGGCUCCAUAGGUUCAGAAGGGAGGAAACCUGCAGCUGGGGGAGCUCAGCUGUCCCCGGUCCCUCUCCCACAGUGGGGGGGUCCCGUCCCUGUGCUGCCCGGGGAUGCCGUGGGACGGCCAGCAGAGCCCACAGAGCCAGCAGAAGCUGAGGACGCAAAAUACCUUGG